GGUGUCCAGCGCUCAGGGCUCCGUCCAAUGGCAAACUGCAGUGCUCUAGCAACACGUUCGAGUUCGGCACGACGUGUGAGGUCACGUGCUCGGUGGGCCACAACCUCGUUGGCAAUCCCACCGUUACCUGUUCGACCAAGGGCACGUGGAUUGGUGAGCUGCCAAGGUGCGAGGGUGUAGCGUGUCCGCCUCUCAAAGUGAACAAAAAGAUGCGAGUCGACCCUUCUCGCUGCAGAAACAAGACGAACCCUUACGGCUUUGUGUGCAAGUAUGAGUGCAUACCAGGCUGGCGGCUGGUUGACACGGAAAGAAACACUGCAGUCGAUGGCGUACGGAAGUGCUUAGAGGAUGGAAAGUGGAAAGACGCGGGACAGAAGAUAACGUGCCGAGGUUCGUCGGGGCUGUUGUCGACCAACUGCGAGCAAUCUUGAAGAAACGAUCACCUUACCUGUCGGUCGUCUCGAUCGUUUCAAAGACUAAGGACGUUUCGGCUGUUG